rnacentral:tRNA from 1 species
CAGGGAGACAAACAACGAUUUUGAUGCCUGAGUGCUUUUAUUCUUAGGCCGAAAUCCUGUCACCUUAGGUCGAUCGGUACCUCAGCUUUGAAGCCAUCAAACUUGUAGUAAUGCAAGUGAGGAUGGUGGAGAUUCUUAGUUCCUAAACUUUGUCUAGGUCACACCCCAAAAGGGAUGAGACUCCUGGGCCAUUAGCUCAGGUGGUUAGAGCGCACCCCUGAUAAGGGUGAGGUCCCUGGUUCAAGUCCAGGAUGGCCCAUUCGGUGUUGGGGGUUUAGCUCAGUUGGUAGAGCGCCUGCUUUGCAAGCAGGAUGUCAGGAGUUCGAGUCUCCUAACCUCCACUGACCGAACUUGAUUCCCAUCUCCAAUUUUUUUGGAGUUGAGCUCGAUUGGAGUGUGAUUUAGAUGUGUCCGCUGGAUGACCCCAGCUUCCUGUCAUUCCAAGUUUUAGGUUAAAGCCUUGAAUUUGGUUGAUAAGAUGCUGGGCUCGGAUCAAAUGAUCAAGCAAUUGAUGAUUUGAUUUGAAGUUCUAGCAGAACCUUGACAACUGCAUAGGUGAGUCUGGAAAAAACAAAGCAUCUUACAGAUGCAUUGUUUUGAAUCUGAUCUUCUGAAAGGGAGAUUGGAUCUAGAACAAUGAAAAUUCUUUUGAGCAAGAGCCGAGACUCUUGAGCGUUCUUUGAUUGGUGUCGAGCCAAUCAGAGUUUGAUCUUGUUUUUAGCAAUAAAAACUUGAGAAUCUGCUUUCAACGGUGGUAAGCGUUCAAGAGAUUAAUU